UGAAACACGGACCAAGGAGUCUAACAUACGCGCGAGGCGAUAGGCGGAAAACCAGAGCCGUAAUAAAAGUGAAGACUUAGUUCGACUAAGUUCGAGGUACGAUCCUAACGAUCUUCAACGAUCUCUAGGCGCAGUACCGUCUCGUCCCUAAGACACGUUCUAAGGGCGAAGAUAGAGUGCGUACGUUGGGACCCGAAAGAUGGUGAACUAUGCCUGAGCAGAGCGAAGCCAGAGGAAACUCUGGUGGAGGUUCGUAGCGGUUCUGACGUGCAAAUCGAUCGUCAGACUUGGGUAUAGGGGCGAAAGACUAAUCGAACCAUCUAGUAGCUGGUUCCCCCUGAAGUUUCCCUCAGGAUAGCUGAUACUCGGGAGACGAAGUUUUAUCCGGUAAAGCGAAUGAUAGAGGCAUUGGGGACGAAAUGACCUCAACCUAUUCUCAAACUUUAAAUGGGUAAGAAGUCGAGCUUGCUCGACCGAAGCUCGACCCAUAGAGAAUUCGAGUAUCAAGUGGGCCAUUUUUGGUAAGCA
rnacentral:rRNA from 1 species